rnacentral:antisense_RNA from 1 species
UUUGACCGACCCCAACCACAACGGCCGAUCCGCAUCACGAUCCUGGCCGUACGUCGACAAAAUCGCUUGCGCCUC